GACGAACGCUGGCGGCGUGCUUAACACAUGCAAGUCGAACGGAAAGGCCCUGCUUUUGUGGGGUGCUCGAGUGGCGAACGGGUGAGUAACACGUGAGUAACCUGCCCUUGACUUUGGGAUAACUUCAGGAAACUGGGGCUAAUACCGGAUAGGAGCUCCUGCUGCAUGGUGGGGGUUGGAAAGUUUCGGCGGUUGGGGAUGGACUCGCGGCUUAUCAGCUUGUUGGUGGGGUAGUGGCUUACCAAGGCUUUGACGGGUAGCCGGCCUGAGAGGGUGACCGGCCACAUUGGGACUGAGGUACGGCCCAGACUCCUACGGGAGGCAGCAGUGGGGAAUAUUGCACAGUGGGCGGAAGCCUGAUGUAGCAACGCCGCGUGCGGGAUGACGGCCUUCGGGUUGUAAACCGCUUUCGCCUGUGACGUGGCGUGAGUGACGGUAAUAGGUAAAGAAGCACCGGCUAACUACGUG
rnacentral:rRNA from 1 species